rnacentral:lncRNA from 1 species
UAUACAAUUUAAAAUACAAUAAACAAUUAUGAUAUGGCAUUACAGUAAAAAUAUGACGGUAAUGUUAAAAGUACAUAGAUUUGUAUUUAUGUUUAAAUUCGGAUACUGUAUUUGAUUUUUUUUAUUGAAUUAGGAAGAGCAUUCCACACUUUUGGUCCAUUGUACGAGAAACUAGACUUGUACAACUCUGUAUUUGGUUUUGGAAUAAUAAAAUUAUCUGAG